UACGGAGGGAGCUAGCGUUGUUCGGAAUUACUGGGCGUAAAGCGCACGUAGGCGGCUUUGUAAGUUAGAGGUGAAAGCCUGGGGCUCAACUCCGGAAUUGCCUUUAAGACUGCAUCGCUUGAAUCAUGGAGAGGCGAGUGGAAUUCCGAGUGUAGAGGUGAAAUUCGUAGAUAUUCGGAAGAACACCAGUGGCGAAGGCGGCUCGCUGGACAUGUAUUGACGCUGAGGUGCGAAAGCGUGGGGAGCAAACAGG
rnacentral:rRNA from 1 species